rnacentral:rRNA from 1 species
GAUUGAACGCUGGCGGCAGGCCUAACACAUGCAAGUCGAACGGUAACAGGAAGCAGCUUGCUUCUUGCUGACGAGUGGCGGACGGGUGAGUAAUGUCUGGGAAACUGCCUGAUGGAGGGGGAUAACUACUGGAAACGGUAGCUAAUACCGCAUAACGUCGCAAGACCAAAGAGGGGGACCUUCGGGCCUCUUGCCAUCGGAUGUGCCCAGAUGGGAUUAGCUUGUGGUGGGGUAACGGCUCACCAGGCGACGAUCCCUAGCUGGUCUGAGAGGAUGACCAGCCACACUGGAACUGAGACACGGUCCAGACUCCUACGGGAGGCAGCAGUGGGGAAUAUUGCACAAUGGGCGCAAGCCUGAUGCAGCCAUGCCGCGUGUAUGAAGAAGGCCUUCGGGUUGUAAAGUACUUUCAGCGGGGAGGAAGGGAGUAAAGUUAAUACCUUUGCUCAUUGACGUUACCCGCAGAAGAAGCACCGGCUAACUCCGUGCCAGCAGCCGCGGUAAUACGGAGGGUGCAAGCGUUAAUCGGAAUUACUGGGCGUAAAGCGCACGCAGGCGGUUUGUUAAGUCAGAUGUGAAAUCCCCGGGCUCAACCUGGGAACUGCAUCUGAUACUGGCAAGCUUGAGUCUCGUAGAGGGGGGUAGAAUUCCAGGUGUAGCGGUGAAAUGCGUAGAGAUCUGGAGGAAUACCGGUGGCGAAGGCGGCCCCCUGGACGAAGAC